rnacentral:lncRNA from 1 species
AGCUUUUAUUUUUACUAAUGUUCUAUUAUUAUAAUCUUCAUUAACUUUUUUUUUAUAACUUUCAUCCUAGUGAUAGACUCUCUACCCUACUGGAAUCAAUGGAAUUAUGUAUAAAUUGUACAGCGUCGUGUCCGUGAACUUCCAGAGUUCGCAUUAAAAACUGACAGAACAUCAGAGUGCCAGAAGCUUCUCAUAUUGUGGCUCUGGAGGACUCACCAUUUGGGACUCCAGUAGGAUCCUUGAGGAAUUAUUGCUCCAGGAGUAAUAAUUGUAAGUAUCUUUAAUAUUAGUUUUUAAAAAUUAGGCAAACUGAUAAUAUCAGAGUAUGUUUAUAUA